rnacentral:rRNA from 1 species
GUGGUUUAAUUCGAUGCAACGCGAAGAACCUUACCUGGUCUUGACAUCCACGGAAGAAUUCAGAGAUGGAUUUGUGCCUUCGGGAACCGUGAGACAGGUGCUGCAUGGCUGUCGUCAGCUCGUGUUGUGAAAUGUUGGGUUAAGUCCCGCAACGAGCGCAACCCUUAUCCUUUGUUGCCAGCGGUCCGGCCGGGAACUCAAAGGAGACUGCCAGUGAUAAACUGGAGGAAGGUGGGGAUGACGUCAAGUCAUCAUGGCCCUUACGACCAGGGCUACACACGUGCUACAAUGGCGCAUACAAAGAGAAGCGACCUCGCGAGAGCAAGCGGACCUCAUAAAGUGCGUCGUAGUCCGGAUUGGAGUCUGCAACUCGACUCCAUGAAGUCGGAAUCGCUAGUAAUCGUGGAUCAGAAUGCCACGGUGAAUACGUUCCCGGGCCUUGUACACACCGCCCGUCACACCAUGGGAGUGGGUUGCAAAAGAAGUAGGUAGCUUAACCUUCGGGAGGGCGCUUACCACUUUGUGAUUCAUGACUGGGGUGAAGUCGUAACAAGGUAACCGUAGGGGAACCUGC